UUUUAACAGUAGCUUUAACAAUAAUGUUAAACAGACUUUAAGUUUUGAGUGGAAUGUCUUGAUAUGCUUUGGGAGAUCUCCUGCUUGAAGUUUUAGUUCUGAGAAUCAUUCUCAAAACUCCAGUAGAAUGCUAGAAAAUUACAAUUUUAUUUGUUCUCCUUUUCUCACCCGAAAGUGAAAUUAUCCUCAAACAUCUCUUGGUUUUUCUUAAUCAGUGAUGCAGUCUGAUAUCCAGCAACCACCAGUGCGACUGGCUAAGGUCAAGAUAGACUCUAACUUCACUGCACCUUGCAACCCAACCAUCCUUUACCCUGCUGAUGGAGGCAACAUGCACUGUCUCUCGGCAGUGACAGCAUGUGCAGUUCUAGACGUGCUGGGCCCCCCAUAUUCAGAACCUGAAGAAAGGCAUUGCACGUACUACUAUGACUUUCCAUUUGGCAAUUUCUCAGGUACCGUAUUGUAUCUUCAAAUAGUUCAUCAUUAUUUGACAUUUGUCAGCCCCAAUGAAUUAGUGUUAUCUUUUUUUAUUAAAUCUUUUGAUGAUUUUGGUACUAGUAUUUGAAAACUGAGUUCAUAAAUAUUCGGUAAUCUGGCUUUUGUCUGCAAAUUCAGUUGAUGGGGUUUCUGUACCUGAAGAGGAGAGAGAAAGUUAUGCAUGGCUUCAAGAGAGAGAGAUGAAACCUGAGGAAAUUGCUAUGGAUGCAGAACUGUACGGAGGCCCGAGCCAAAGCCUUCUAAAUUGAAACCUUCUGUGCCUGUUCUCAUGGCUGCUGCCCAGUUGUGUGUAGCAGAUAGAGUUUUUCUUCAUUUAAACUAUUUGGUUUAGGUCAU
rnacentral:misc_RNA from 1 species